AUACUUAUUGGCAGGGGAGACACCAUGAUCAGGAGCUGGUUUUCUCAGGGUGAGGCUUAUCCCCAGAGCUCUGGGUGUGCCAACCACUGUGAUCACCCCAAAUGCAGGAAAGUUGACUGCAUAAUUUGUGGGAGUGGUAAUUUUUAUUCAUUUAUUUCAUUC
ensembl:snRNA U1 U1 spliceosomal RNA